rnacentral:misc_RNA from 1 species
AAGUCGUAACAAGGUUUCCGUAGGUGAACCUGCGGAAGGAUCAUUACUGAGUUUUGAACGGGUUGUAGCUGGCCUUAAAAAAGGCAUGUGCACGCCUGGCUCAUCCACUCUCAACCACUGUGCACUUUUUGUAGGAAAUGACAGAUGCUGGCAAUGUGUCAGCUGAAGUCUUUCUUAUGUUUUUAUAAUCAACAUCAUAGUAAAAGAAUGUACUAUUGCAUAUAAUGCAUUAUAUACAACUUUCAGCAACGGAUCUCUUGGCUCUC